GCGCCGGUGGUGUAAUGGCGUACAGUAUUCCCGCCUGGCCAGGGUGCGGGUUCGAGUCCCGCCUGGCGCU
rnacentral:tRNA from 1 species